UGCAGCAUCAUGGAGCCUUCCCUGGAAGAGAAGAGAAGGGUGAGAAGUCAUAUGUGAGCAGCCUGGCACCCCAAGAUUUGAUAAUUUAUUUAUUUUAUAUACAUUGGUGUUCACCUGCAAGUCUGUCUGUGAGGAGGACUCAGAUAUCCUAGAAGAGGAGCUACAGACAGCUGUGAGCUGCCAGGCUGAAGUGGCAGCAGGACCCAGGUGGCUGGCGGGAAAGAGUACUCGUAACAUAACGGCGCCCAACAUGAAGCGCCAACUGAAGAUGCGCUGACCCAACAGAAAGAGCAUGCAAAGGAAAGCCAACCUCAAGCUCCUCUGCUUCUGUCCACUUGAAGCCACACCCAAAGGGGUGUGGCCGCCACUUCAGGUCCACAGACCAGAUGUCUACACAUAAACAAACAAAAAAGGCGACUGUUGGGCUGGGGAGAUGGUCAGUUGGUGAGACCCUUGUCAUACAAGCGUGAGAACCUGGGUUUGACUCCCCAGAGCACACAUGAAGCUAGGAGCAGUGGUGUCUAUCUGCAAUUCCAGUGCUUCUGCGGAAAGGUAGGAAGUAGACACGGGGAUUCUAGGCUGUUCUCAGGCAGCAGCAAGAAACAACACACCCUGUCAGAGGAAGUGGAAGAAGUACCUGCAUCUGCUCUCAGAAAUGUACAAUCAAAAAAGUUUUUAAUGCAGAAGUAAAAAGAACCAACCUACAAAAUACAAGUUACAGCAUGCUGAACAUUGAAAUGAGGACUCAGCACAUGCUAGGCAAAUGCUCUACCAUGGAUGGAAGGAUGAAUGCUAGAGAUAACCCACUGAGUCCAGUUACUGCAUAUGUGCGUGGGUGUGGGCCAUCCACCAUGGCAUGGGAAUCCUACCAGUGGCCACAUCCUCAAAGAAUGCAUUAAUCCGGGCUUCAGAAGACUUAGAACAGCUGUUCUCAAUAGAGUCACCGACAAACCUGCUGGGAAAACAGCAGACAAGGAAGACAGCUGUGUGGCUGCUGAGGCCAAGGAAGGCCAGAGAUCAGCAGGAGCUGCCAAGGCCACGAACCUGCAAAGAGGGGCUCUUCCCCAGAGAUGUCAGUGGGAGCAUGGCCUGCAGGCAUCUUGAUGAGAGUCCCAUCUUGUCUCCAAUGCUGGAGGAGAGAAACACAUUUCUGUUGGAAAGAAGGGAGGGAGGGGGGUAGGAGGAAGGAAAGGAGGGGCAUAGUCCUAGGGCAAGAAAAUGGAAGUCGAAUGGCUGACAAGCACCAAACAUGAACAAAACAUUGUUAAAACAAAAAGUUAUCUGAGUAGGUGGUAUAACUCUGUGGAUAUGACCCCAGUACUUAGGAGGCUGAAGGAGCAGUGUUUGAGGCUAGCCUGAGCUACAUAUGGAGACCUGUCCCAAUGAUUUAUAAAUAAUAACAGCAAGAAUAACAAAAAGCUGAGAAGCCGGUGGACAAAGGCACUUUCUGCCAAGUCUGGUGACCUGAAUCCGAUCCUUGGGUCCCACAGUGUAGAAGGAGGGAACACCCUCUCAGAAGUUGUCCUCUAAUCGACAAAUAGGUGCUAUGACACCACACACCCACCCUCCAAUAAAUAAAUAGAUUUUUUAAA